GAAUUAAUUAUUCAGGUAUUUAAUAAAAUUAUUUUUUUGUUGUAUUAUUUAUUUUAGAAUUAAUUUUUUUAAUUAUAGUUGAUUAGUAAGGUAAUUGAAUUUUUAAAUAUAAUGAAAAUUUAAUAGUUUAAAAGAAGAUUUAAUUUUUUGUACCUUGUGUAUCAGGGUUUAUUAAAUAAUUUCUAAGUAUUUAGGAUUCCCGAAUUUGAUAGGAGCUAGUUAUUAAUAUGUUUUACUGUUUAAUAAUUAUUCUUAAUUAAUAAUUUGAAAUGAAACGUUAUUCGUUUUCAAAUAUAUCUGGUUUUUCAAGAAACUGAUUUAAUCUGGGUUUAUUUAAGACUUUUUUAUUUAUUUAAUUUUGGUUUGAGUAAGUCUAAUAAUUUAGGGGAUAAGCUUUAAAUUAUAUUUUUAAAAAAAUUGUUAUUUUUUAGAUUUGUAGAAUUAGAAUUUUUUUUCAUUUUAGUAUGUUAUUAUUAAUCUAGUUUAAAUGUGAUUUUUAUUUUUUUAAAUUUUUUAUUGAAAAUUUUGUUUUAAUUAUUAAAAUUAAGUUAUAAUGAUGGAAUUAGUACAUUUUUUUGUAGUUUUGUUUAAAAAUGAAAGGUAUAGUUAAGGAAUUCGGCAAAUAUAUUUUUCGCCUGUUUAUUAAAAACAUGGCUUUUAAGUUUAUGAUUAAAAGUUUAGCCUGCCCAAUGAUUAUUUUAAUGGCCGCGGUAUUUUGACCGUGCAAAGGUAGCAUAAUCAUUAGUUUUUUUAUUGAAAGCUGGUAUGAAUGGCUGGACGAGAAAGAUUCUGUCUCUAUUAUAUUUUUUUGGAAUUUUACUUUUAAGUUAAAAGGCUUAAAUUUUCAUGAAAGACGAGAAGACCCUAUAGAGUUUUAUAUUCUAUUAAAUUUUUUUGUAUAAGAAUUGCUGUAAAAAGGUUUGGUAGGAUAUUUAGUUGGGGUGACAGGAAGAUUAAAGUAACUCUUCUUUAUUUUUAUCAUUUUAUAUGUUUAAUUGAUCCGUUUAUUACGAUUAAAAGAUUAAAUUACCUUAGGGAUAACAGCGUUAUUUUCUUAGAGAGUUCUAAUCGAUAAGAAAGUUUGCGACCUCGAUGUUGGAUUAAAAUUAAUUUUUGGUGCAGUAGCUUUAGAAUUAAGUCUGUUCGACUUUUGAAAUUUUACAUGAUCUGAGUUUAAACCGGUGUGAGCCAGGUUGGUUUCUAUCUUUUUGAUUUUAUAAUAUUUUAGUACGAAAGGACCAAAUAUUAGAUAAUUUAUUUAUUUUUGAUUAA
rnacentral:rRNA from 1 species